GGCCCAUUAAGGCCGGCUCUUCCAGGACUACAGAGGCUCCCAUCCAGCACAGAUAAGAAAUCCUAGACCACAGAACUAGAGGCUGGGUUCUGCCCAGGCUCUGUCCCUGCCUUGCUAUGUGGCCUUGGGUGACUCAUUUGCCCCUCCACCCCCCACCCUAAGCCUCAGUUUCCUCAUCUAUCCUAUUAAGUUAUGUAAGACUAGGUAAUCUCUAAGGUUCUCUGAAGCUUCGACAUCUCAGUCUAGGUUUCACAGCUUGUAGACACUUGGUUAGUGGGUUGCUGCUGGGGAGAAGAGAAAGGUGAUUAUUAAUAAUUGGGUGGAUCUGUUUAGUGUUUCCAUACCUUCUUCAUUGACAUGGUGGUGUUGGGCUAAAGCCCUGGCUUGGGAGGUAGCAGCUUUGGGCUUAUUUCCUGGCUCUGCAAGUAACCAGCUGUAUGUAUGAUCCUUGGACUAGCUCCUUGCCAUUUCUGGGCCUAUUUUUCCACUUGAACAAGGGAGGAUGGGACCCACUGGUAUCUGAAGUUUCUCUGACAGUGACCAAGCUUCUAGAGAUAUGGCUGCUCACCCCUGGGGAGAUGAUCCCAGCCCUGGUGCCACCUCAGUCCUCUUUCCUUCCAAAUCCAUAUAUUUAACCACCUUCUGAUGUCCCCCUCUCUCCCUUGAAGUGUCACAGGUGCCUCAGGCUCAAGUGCUCCAAACUCAGGUGCCCAUCUCCCUCUGGGGCCUUCUGUUCCCCUCUUUAGUUAUUGUCUUUCCAGCCUCACAGCAGACCUUAGGGCUACCUGAGACCCUUGCUC
rnacentral:lncRNA from 1 species